AAACUGUUCAUGUUGUUGCUGUGAAUGUUCAGGGAUUGUUUAACACUGUUAGAUGUCUUUGAUUUGAACAUUAGUUGAUCCACAGAUCAGAUGUGUAAUGUUAU